GGUCUUUAUGUUUUUGAAGUGUACUGAUAUUUCUAAAUGAAGAUAACUUCAAGUGCAAAUUAUUCUUAGCUUGAAAAUGUGUUUGUUUUGAGAAAAAUCAUCUGAAAAGUGUGAUUAAAGGGUGUUUGAAAUUUCCUGAUUUUUUGUCAACGGGGGACACAUAUUCGCCGUUUUUACACAUCUAUUUUAAACCAAAUAACUGCAGCUUUAAAACAAUAUUUAUCAAAUAAAUUUCAUUAUAGAUGAAUAGCAGACAUUUGAAAGGUGUAAAAAACUGAAAUUUAGAGCAAUCAGUCAAAGAAUUACUAAGAAAUACUUAUUUGAAUUUUUUUUUUUCAUUCAGGAAAUUUGCUGAAAAUCAUUGUCCGUUUUUCGGUCCUUUGCGGUUAGUGCUGAAAUUUUGUCUCAUUUUCAAAAAUAACCAUAUUUGUUUUAAAAAUAUAAUUUAACGGCAUAUUUCUUCCAAACCAACCAUCCUUUGAAGUUUUUACACCUCAAAAUCAUAAAACGGCGAAAUUGUGUCCACGGCGAAUAUGGGCGCCCCACUCUACAUGAUACAUGUACAAAUCUAUGCGUUGGAUAAAUUUCACGGGGGGGGGGUCUCUUCCUAUAUAAAGGUAUAUACAUAUGUGCCGCUGGAAUGGGUCCCUUUUUUGAUCCGUCAAAUAUAUCAAUGGGGUGCAAUUUUACCGAGGAAAUAUAUCAAUAGGUAGUAAUUGACCGAUUGUGAUAUAUCAAUUGGUGAUAAAUAUAUGAAUGGGUUAUGAUUUCGCUGUGAAAUAUAUGUAUAGGUAGGGAUUUCACAAUUAUUCAAUAUAUGAAUGGGGGGUGUUUUUAAAAUCCCAGCUGCACACCUGUACCCAAAAUCCCAUGUUGAGACCCCCCCGUGAUAAAUUU
rnacentral:lncRNA from 1 species